UCGACGAGCUGAGAGCACAGAGCCAACUGCCGAGAGGAAAAGUGAAAUGUAAAGUGAUUAAGGAUCGCUAAAAAGAUACUUACCGAUACUUACCUGGUCGAUGAGCCACCAGCAUCACAUCUUAGUGAGUAAGAAUUGACUUUUGCACCUGUAAGAGUGUGGGAGACACCUCUACAGUGGAGACAAGAUGGCGAGCCCGAUCCAUGGACUACAGUUCUAGAACCUUCGUCGUGAUUACAAGUGAAUCGUUUCCUAUUGGUGAACAUUGCUGCCAGUGCGUCUAGAUGAUGUCAUCUUCAGUAUUUGUCCAGUUCCUUGAUGUCUUCGCUCCAUGUGCCUGGAAUUUUGGAUGGAUGCAUUUUAUUUUUUUUAUCGUCAAACUGUGACAAAACACCUCAAAGUGUGUCUAUGAACAUGAUGAGCUCAGAAAGUAGACCUGUUGGCAGAUAUCAGAAAUUACAUUUUAACAUCUGAGAUUGAACACAAUCUGCUCCCGGGAGUUGGUCAUCCUCCAAUUUGUUCACAAUUCACAACAAAUGUCCCCAAAGGAAAUAAAGGAAAUGGAAGUCACUGGGCUUGAGAGGCUCGCUAAUAAAAGACAUAUACAAAAUAAGUAACAUUCUUCGGCGCAUGUACAAGGUCUACAUCAAAGAAUUUUUUCCACCGAGGGCAACAUAGUGAAAAAUGAAAAGAUGCAAGGGCCACUCUGAUAUUUUGUAAAGCAACACAUACUGUAGAUAUGCUAAGAAGUUCUAUGCUGUAUAUUUAAAAAAAAAACUACAUCUCAGCUUUGUGAUGUAGCUGGAAAAGCAUAUGAAUUUCGGUCUUUGCUUUGUUUUAUUCAUUUUUUUGCUUUUUUUCUGAAAUAUUUCUUUUUUCUCAAAUAUUUAUUUUAAAACUUUCUCCUUAAAUAAUCUUAAUUUUCUACUCAUUUCUUCUUUUUAAUAUUAUGACUUUAUUCUCGUAGUAUUAUACAUUUUUUUGCAACCUCUUUUUUUUGAUUGUUUUUUUGUUUCUCAUAGUAUUAUGACUUGUAGAAAACAACCUUUUUAAAAAUAUAUUUUAACUCUAUGCUAAAAUUACAUGAUUUUUCGUCAUAAUAUUAUGAGAGUAUUCUGUAAAAAUUGUGACCUUUUGUCUCAUAUGGCUUUUCGCUCUCUGUAUUUUGACAUUAGUCUCAUAAAAUGGCAGCUGUUUUUUUUUAAUUGUCCAACUAUUUAAACUUUCAAUUUUCUUUUGGUAAUUAUGACUUUAUUCCCAUAAUAUUUACAUUUAAUUUUCAUAACCUUAUAACUUUUUCGUCAGCCUUAUUUUCCAAAAAUUUGUAUUGUUCUUAUUAUUAACAUUACUAUAUUAUUAUUGUCAUUAUUCACUGUUUUGUUUGUUUCUCAUAAUGUCUGUGUAGGCUCUCAGUCGUACAGGAGUUGUCCAUCAAGGGAAAGGCUUCUUGAGACGUC